rnacentral:rRNA from 1 species
UCCCUCCGGGGGGCAGCGGUAGGGAAUAUUGCUCAAUGGGGGAAACCCUGACGCAGCCACGCCUCGUGGAUGAUGAAGGUUUUCGGAUUGUAAACUCCUUUUGUUAGAGAAGAUAAUGACGGUAUCUAACGAAUAAGCACCGGCUAACUCCGUGCCAGCAGCCGCGGUAAUACGAAGGGUGCAAGCGUUACUCGGAAUCACUGGGCGUAAAGAGCGCGUAGGCGGGAUAGCAAGUCAGAUGUGAAAUCCUAUGGCUUAACCAUAGAACUGCAUUUGAAACUGUUAUUCUAGAGUAUGGGAGAGGG